rnacentral:lncRNA from 1 species
CCAUGAGCCACGCUGGAGAGUCCUCUCCUAAAGUUGCAACAGGCUCAGGGGGGCUGAGAAGGUAGAUUUUCUGUAGAAUCCUAGGAGAGAAGGAGGUAGUGUGAUCCUUGAGGCUCAAGCCUCCCACCUUAUCCCUUAGGGCUGGGCUGUGAGGGAGAGACACCCCUGAGAGCAGACCCCUUUCCUGAGGGCAGAGCCUGGGGCUGGGACCCCAAGGUGUCCUCCCACCUAUCACCACCAGCUCCAGGGAGUCAGUGAGCUCUGGGGCUGAAAUAGUGACAGUAAUAUCAUCCUACAUAUUCAUUUGUCAUGGAUAUGAUGGGGGAACUCGGCCUUGUCUCCAGGCUGCAGUGGGCUCUGUCUGUCCCAGGACACUGAGCUUCCCUCUUUUUUUUUUUUUUUUCUUUUUUUUUUUGAGACGGAGUCUUGCUCUGUCACCCAGGCUGCAGUGCAGCGGCGUGAUCUGGGCUCACUGCAAGCUCCGCCUCCUGGGUUCACGCCAUUCUCCUGCCACAGCCUCCCGAGUAGCUGGGACUACAGGCGCCCACCACCACACCCACCUAAUUUUUUGUAUUUUUAGUAGAGACAGGGUUUCACCAUGUUAGCCAGGAUGGUCUCGAUCUCCUGACCUCAUGAUCUGCCCGUCUCAGCCUCCCAAAGUGCUGGGAUUACAGGCAUGAGCCACCACGCCCAGCCCCCUCUUUUUUUUUUAGUUGGAGUCUUGCUCUGUCACCAGGCUGGAGUGUAGUGGCACAGUCUCAGCUCACUGCAAGCUCCGCCUCCCGGGUUCAAGUGAUUCUCCCACCUCAGCCUCCCAAGUAGCUGGGACUACAGGUGCACACCACCACGCCCAGCUAAUUUUUGUAUUUUUAGUAGAGACGGGGUUUCACCAUGUUGGCCAGGAUGGUCUCGAUCUCUUGACCUCAUGAUCUGCCUGCCUUGGCCUCUCAAAGUGCUGGGAUUACAGGCAUGAGCCACCGCGACCGGCCCUGGGCUUCCCUCUUUAUCCAAUCGGUACUCCUGGGCCUCCAGGUUCCCCUGACACCAGAGGGUCACAGGCCUCUCCCAGGUGAUCACAGAGCCUGUCUCAGCCCAUGGGGAGGGUUUGGGGAAGGGCCCUGAAAUGGAACCAGAGGCUGGGUCCCAAGAUCUCUUUCACUCCUGGUUCUCUAGUUUAGUCCAAAACCCCUCUCUGUUUUAUCACCCUCAGCCCAGAACAACUGUGCCCCCCAACCUGAGAGCCCAGGGGCUGGAGUAAGAGGGAGGCUCGUGGAGAACCUGGUAGCCCCUUCUCCCUCCAUCACUGACUGAGGCAGAGAAGCACGAACACCGUGAUGCCUGCUCUGGGGGCUCCAGCUGUGGGAGAGGAGACCACAGGGCCCUCCAGGACAGACAGACACACGGAUGUGGUCACUCAGAGCCUGCUGCUGCCCGUCCAGGCCUCUCUCCUUUACACUUGGAGAAACUGAGGCCCAGGCAGAGGAGGGGCCUGUCCACAUCACCACCUCCAGAGGAGCCUCAAACCGAUGACAGAACCCACCCCUGCCUCCCCUGGACCCCGCCCACCUCCCACUCAAAGCCCCUCACUUAGCACUGUGGGGGCCUGACGUUGUGGGGGUGAGGGGCUGGUCCUUAGGGCCUGCUGGGUCAGGAUGGGGAGGUGAGGGCUGGGGCUGCCCUGCUCCCCACGUCAGCCCGGCUGCUCCUCCCCCAGGCUGGGCCCCAACAUCUCCCUCUGCCUCGACCCCCGCCCCUCACCAGCCCAGCCUCAGAGCCCCGGGGAGCCUGUGGCCCCUCCUCUGGCUCUGCCUCAGCUCCCUGGAGGGAAGCUCGUGCUUGAGUCCUUGAGGGGAAUGGGAUCAUCUGGGAGACUCAGGACUGCCCUGGGGGAGGCCACCCUCCCUCUGAGCCCAGAGGCCUCAAUGACUCACCAGGUAUGGAGAAGGAGCCUAUGGGUGGAGGGCUGGGGCCCCUGGAGGGUCCUGGGAAGGAGCACAGAAAGGGAGUGAGGAAUUGGAGCUAUCCUGGAGUCCCCACCUCCACUCAAAGCUCUCCUCUCCAUCUGCCCAGUGGCCUCUCCAAGACCCUCCCUCUUCCCACCUAGCACCUUCUGGACUCCAGGUGAAGGAGAAGAGGGAGAACUCCUGUUGGCUUCUUCUCCUCUGAGGGGUGAAUUCCUCUGUGGCUGAGUCUCCCUCAGAGCCCCCUUCACUCCAUCUCUGCCCAGAGCUCUCCUGGGGGCAGGGCCUGAGCUGAGUCUUUGAACUUAGAGAGGACAGGGUCAGGGCCUUUCACCCAAGACCACCAGCUCCGACUGCGGUGUGAUAGCAGGUAGGGGGAGGUGCAGUCAUGUGAGAAUCUUGAAGGUGCCCAUGAAGGGAGUGUUUAUACCACAGUCAUCAACAAAUUCCACAAAUAAAUGCUUUUUAGAAAACUUUUUUGUUGUUGUUCAGGAAGCCAGUCUAUGCGCACAACAGCAGGCUUUUCCAUCAAACACUUCUCUUUUGAUUCCUAGUGACUGUAUCUCUGGAGAAACUACAGAUGAAGAGU